rnacentral:rRNA from 1 species
UACGUAGGUGGCAAGCGUUGUCCGGAUUUACUGGGCGUAAAGGGCGUGCAGGCGGUUUGUUAAGUGCAGGGUGAAAGCUCCCGGCUCAACUGGGAGAGGUCCUUGCAUACUGGCAAACUCGAGGGAGGCAGAGGAAAGUGGAAUUCCCGGUGUAGUGGUGAUAUGCGUAGAUAUCGUAAGGAAGACCAGUGGCGAAGGGCGGGUCUCUGGACCAGUU